rnacentral:lncRNA from 1 species
UACAAAAUUUAGUCCUGGUAUCUAUGAUGAGUUUAUUUACUACCACUGGGUCGAUGCCACUGCUGGUGGAGAUUUAUUUACCUGAGGGUAUCACCAGCCCAGUAGUCAGCACUUUUGUACUGACAUGAAUUAUCAUUGAUAUGUUUAUAUUUAUAAAUUUACUGUUUACAAACUUUUUAAUUUUUGAAAUACUAAGGCUGUUUUACCUCAGGCAUAGAUUACCUUAGCUGUAUUUGGCAAAACUUUUUGGAAUUUUGGUCCUCAAUGCUCUUCAACUUCGUACUUAAUUUGGCAUUUUUAACAUUUUUUGUAUUCGAGCGUCACUGAAGAGUCUUUUGUAAACGAAACGCGCGUCUGGCGUAUAUACAAAAUUUAGUCC